CCAUUUUUUUUCUCGCUUCCUGUAGGAUGGUAAGGGAAGGUCCGGCCCUCCUUCGCCUCUGAUUGGCUAUAAGUGCUGACCAUUUGGCUUGAGCGUGUGAUGACGUUUCAAGCUUUUGUAGCCAAUCAGAGGCGAAGGAGGCGGGACUUUCCCUCACGAUUCGUGAGUCUUUUUCCCCGGGAAAGUCGUAAAAUCGCAUCGGGCUUGAUGUGUACAGUCAGGUGCGUCAAAAUUCACCUCAGAAUAUUUCAUAAUUUCGCGUUCUAUAUUUGCGUCGGCCCCGGUGUUUAAGGACCUUUAGUCUUGCCACAGUGUCAACAGGCAGAUGGUAAAAUGCACCAGACCUCUUCCUUCCUGCAGAUAGAGUUGGUUUGAUGUGUGUGUGUUUGUGCUGUUGUUAGGUUGUUUGGUUUAGACCAAAUCAAGUAUUUUAACACAGCCAGGUAGGACUAAUGAUUAGCAACAGUAGAGGACGGCAGGUGAAUCAGAUAAACCUCUUAUCAUGUGACCAAUAAACUAUCAAACUGACAGUCACGGUAAAUAUUUUGAUGUUGCAACAAACAACACAAAUCCUUUACACGAAACACACACACUCCACUCGCUUGGUGUGUAAUCAGGGGCAGCACUAGGUCGGACAAACAGCACUCGUAGUGUUAUGUAAAACAAACCACGUGGACGGGGCAUAACCCCCAAAGAGGGUGAGGCUCAGGGCGCUGUGUGUGUGUGUGUGUGUGUGUGUGCGUUUAUCUGCUGUAAGCUUUUAACCUGGUUUGUGCCGUCAGCUCCGGUCUGUCUCUGCAGAAUUAGCCUCGCGGCACAGAAGCAAAAAGAUCUGCGCGUAUUCGGAGCGACAAUACACACAGAUGUGGAGCCAAAAGAGCAGAGAGGAACAUGUGGAUUAACAAACCAAAAAAAACUGCCAUUUGAUUUGCAAUUUCUUGAUACGGCACCCUGCUGGGAUAGGAGGAAAUCUUUCAUCCUCUAUCAAUUUAGCGUUUAUUCAUUUAUCGAGUGUGACUCAUUAUGUUGAUGAAAGACGCAGUGCAGAGCAUUUAGUCAAUUUAGCAGAUUUAUUUACUCAUUAGCCUCCCAGACUCUCCUCUGUUGUAUUGUUGUGUAAUCCGCUGUGUGGGUAUGAAAAACAGGUCGAGGUGGGAGGCGUACCCCUGCUUUUUAAUGAUUACAUAAUCCAUAUUAGGCUGGAAAUAAGCUCAAAUUUCUCCACAUUGCAAACUCAACUUUCCUUCAUUAGCCUAAUUACUGCGUUACACAACUGAUCAGCCCCCACGGGAAGAUGCAGCGCGGACGAGGACAGCACCAGACAGGCUCUGGAUCCAUUUUGAGAAAAUAAACGCCUCAUUUUUCUGUGUUUACCUCCGGUUUUUCCCCCACAUAUUCAGAUUGGUUUCUUUGUGUAAUAGGACAAAAUGGAGGCGCCGCUGAGAGUCUUUGUUUGGAGGUGGUUUGUUUGACAAAGUCAAGGAUGUUCAGCUCUCUGAAGUCUGCUCCUGCCUUGUUUGGGUGGUCUGUUCAGGGAGUCGCAGAAACUCGCAGUGCACAUAGCAACAGCUCUCCUCUGUUUGGGUUUUUCUUUUGGGGUCAUUCUGAAGGCUGUGUGUGCAGAGGCGUUUUUUUCCCACUGGUUUCCAGCGCGCACCAUGUGAUGAGGUCAUCCAUGUGUGUCGCCGCAUCAUCUCAGAACAAGCUGUGCCCAAUUAGGUCAAACAGAGAGCCGGAGGAGUAAUCUGAGUCGAAUACUUAUACACACAAACGCAGGUGCAGCUUAAAAACUUAACAUGAACGGAAAAAAAAGUUCAUUUUUCUUCACAAUUUAGUUCAAAAAGUGAAACUUCCAGUUAUUCCAGACUCUACUGCUGUUGGUCUGCUGUGUCCAGAGUAGGCCUGGGCAACAAAUUGAUCACAAUAUAUUUUGUCAGAUCGUCCGAUCUCGAUUAUUAUCACGAUUUAAAAAAAAAUCUUCUUAAACUGCCAGUUUUAACGCAUCUGUACUAAAAACUGAAGAAACUAGAGAUUAAUUCAACAUUUUACUAUCAUACAAAGUUAAAGAUAAACAGAAAAAUAUAGAAAAACAUUUUUAUCAACAAUAGAACAAAUGUUCCUCUCACUCACCCCCUCAGGGAUAAUGAAGACGCCUUAAAUGUAAACAUUAGAUGAUGUAAACGUAGAUGAUAUUUAUCGAUUGCUUUGGUCUGGUGGCUGCACCGCUAGUUGUGGCUAAACUGCUAAUGCUACUUGUGUGGUCAGGCUGUGCAGACUCCGCUCACAUUUUCAUGUUUUCCGCAUAAUCACUUGGGAAGUAUUUCUUUAAAUAAUUAAACAGAUCUGUUGUGUUGCCGGUUUUUGAGGGCACCAACCGCCGACAUACGUCACACAUCGGCUUAAUUGCUCGAUGUUACUUUGGAGAUACACAAACCACCUCAACAAUGGCGUCUUUUCAAGUCGUGGCUGACAUCUUUUUUGCUGCCCUCAGCUCUGCGUUAAGCUCCAUGUUCGGUCAUUCUGUUUACUUCCCCUUUUUACUUCUCCGACAACUUACAGAAGUGAGAAAAGCUCGACUCUGAUUGGCUGUUGUGACGCACAUUCCUGUUGUGUUUGAUCGAGUAAAUAACCUCACAGCUGAUCACUGUGAUUGAACUGAAAUUUAUCACGAUCAUAAAAUCACCCAGUCCUAGUCCAGAGUCAACGCAGUUUAAAGCCAACUUGGAGAUUUUAGCUGCACCUGUAAAUGACACCCCCAUAAAGAUAAAUAAGGGCCUGUGUCCACUGGCAGCCUUUUUUGCACCCAUAAUCAUAUUUUUAGAGUGCUUCUUACAGCAUUUAGUGUCGGUUUAAAAAGUUGUCCUGUUGCACUUCUAGUUUCCAUAAAGUUUGUCUCGAGCCGGACGAACAAGCUCUGCAGAAAAUCUGUGUGACGCUGCAAACAAAAACUGCAGCACCAAGCAGAUCUUAACUGCAGGUGAACUCUGCUCGCUGCCGUAAAUGGUCACAGGAUUUUCCUACUAUCAGCUGUAUGUUUGGUCCAGCUUUCUAUUAGCCCAUAAAAAAAGACAGCGGUGUAGGAAUAAAGGACAGGCCUCCGACCACAUCUGGCGCCAUCAUGGAGGGUUCUUCCUUCUGUGUGAAUACGUUGUGUAAAACAUAAAACAGCCACUGAAAACAAGACCGACUCCUUGAAAACAGGUGCUGCAGAGUUUAGUGCAGUCGCUGAAUUUACGGCUCAGAAUGUUGCACUUUUUAAAGGUUGGACUACUUGCAGAAACUUGCGUCAAAUGUGUUGAUUUUCAUGAGGAAACCAGUUUCUCCUGCGAGGACGUUUCACAAGUGCAACUUUUGAUCCAGCUGGAGUUACAUCAGGACAGUGUUUUAGGCAUCCUGGUCUUGAGAUUUAGUGUUUGGCUGCCUGUCAGAUAAUAAAACUGAAAAUACAGGAUUUCAUCUUUAAGGCCUGCAGGUUGGUUGAAAAACCACAUGCCGCCACUCGCUUGACUGUUGCAGAUCUUAGCUCUUGUGAACAAACCGAAACAGCACAACCUGGAGUGGUUGCAUCAGCGUGGACGUGUCACUUCAAGUAUCAGUGAAACAGCAAAUUAAGAUGAAGGAAGAGUGGACUGAGAUAAACCUCAGUGAGUCUGAGGACUCGUCAGACCAUAAAACACGGGGCGGUUUAUGUUGGUAUGAGAAAGGAUUUGACAUCUCGUUAAAUCUAAUCCUUUGUUUCAACAAUCACCAGGUUCAGAGCAGAUAAAGAGCAGCGAAUGUUGAGUCAGAUUGGAGUUUUCCUCCUCUUCCUUUUUGGCACAGAGAGUGAGUUUAUAUAAGUCGGUCAAUAAAUCAAUCAAAAUGUUUCCAUAUAGUUCAUUUAAAAGAGAUAAUGUGCCUGUUAAAGUGUUUUUACGAGUGAUUUAGGAAUGUAGCGGGAGACACACCAGAACAACGGAGAAGUGACACGACUGUGACAGCAACAAAAGACGGGUAGUUUAUUCUGAAAUAUACUGUAGCUGUUUAAAAGUUAAAGGUUUUAUGCAACAGAGAGUGUUUGAUUGUUAUGAUAAAAGAUAAAAUGUUCAGAUUAAAGUUGAACAGAAACUUUGAAAAUUAAAGCUCCUGUGAGGAACUUCUGAUUUGUGUUGAUUUUUGCGCGAUAAAGAGAGAUCAGUUUUAAUUUCAAGCUGUUUCAUAACCAAAUAAAAACUACUCAAAGGAGCUUCAAGUUACAUUAGUAAGAGUUGGGACGGAGAGAUUAAGUAUUUAUAGUUAUAGUUUAUAGUUGGCAGGGUAUCCCCGGGGUCUUUAAAAGUCUUAAAGCAUCUAAAAUCCAAUAAUUUGAAUGUAAGGCCUUAAAAUGUCUAAAAUUCUCCUAAAAUCUCAUAAAAUGUCUUAAAUACGAUUUUAAAAAGUCCUAAAAAAUUCAUUAACUUCACUUACAAAUAAAGAUUGAUUUGACGUCAUGUAAAAUGUUCUUGUCUUUGUACUUUUUUGCCAGUAUGGAUGUAAAAUGCAUCUUAGAAGACAGUAGUUAACUCCAGAGUUGCGUAGCUCUAAGAAAAGUUGGAUAUCUUUCAUUAAAAUGGUUUAUUCCAGAAAAUGUUUGUGCCUAUCAUAAAAGGUUUGGCGUUAUGGAAAGAUGGGUCGUUUUUGGUGACGAUAGCUAGUUUAAGUAAAGAUAAAGAUAUUUAAAGUUAUCAGGUCGGUUGUGUAGUUGGUGUUGGAGGUUAUAAAGGUGUGAGAGUCAAUAAAAGAUGGGUAGUUACUGUUAUGUAUGAUUGGCUAUACCAUAAAGAGGGGAUCAUGAUAAUAAACACUUCAGGUUUGAAACGGUUUUUUGAUGUCAAGUUUGAACUGGAUUUCACUGCAUAAAUAAAGUUUUAUUACAAGUAUUGAAGGAUGAUGACCUCAACACAUAGAACAAAAUCAAGUCAGUUUUAUUCGGUAUUUUAUUCAAUAUCAGUUUUAUUAUGUAUAUUUGUGUAAUGAGGGUUUUAAAGAAGUCCCUCACUUCUGUCCACUCCUCUGCUCUGGGACAUCCAGACAGUAACGACUGCUCCUCAAAAAAUAAUCCAAUUUCUCUUUUCAUUAGUGGGAGUCAAUGCUUUUAUUCAAUUUGGGAGUUGAUGUUAGGACGUGUGUAUGUGUGUCUGUGUGUGUGUUUGUGUGUGCAGAUGUUGCCUGAGGUCCACUCUGUCACAGACUAAUCUUCCGCAGAAUACAUGAGGCAGAAGAGGGAACGGGAGGAUUUGGUUCGUAGUGAAAAGGGACUAAAUCUGUGCGUGCGUGCGUGUGUGUGUGUGUGUGUGCGUGUGUGUUUAUGAUGCUGCUCAGCCUCUCAGCACUUGUUGAACCUUUAUGAAUCAUCAUCCUCAGUUAUUAUUGAAUCAUAAAGCUCAUAAUGAAAGUCUUUCUAUAACCUCUUUUUUGUCUUUUGAAUGGAUUUUUCCUGCAUUAUGGAUUAAACGUGUGUGUACGUACGUGUGUGUACUUGCGUGCGCGUGUGUGUGUGUGUGUAAUAUUUACAAUCACUCCACCAUAUUUGCUUUCACACUGUCACUAUUUGCCUCAUUUCUACAAACAUCAAAAGGCCUUUUCAUAAAGUGUUUGACACUCAAAUAUUGGAGCGGGACAUACUGGCGAGUUCAGAGAAAGGGUGAGGACGCUUCAGAGAAAGAAAAAAGGAGUGGAGGUCAAUGUUGAGAAUAAAGGAGGGGAAGGAGGCAUUGAAGGGAAAUACAGGACGUAUAAAAGGGCGAGCAUGGGGAGGAGCUGAGCUGAUAACUUGUAGAUCUGUAUGGGUGUAUUUAUGUACGUAUACACAAGAAUAUGUGUUUCCUUUAUUUGUUGGAUUACAUAAUUCUGCCUAUUUAAGUAUGACUGUAGGGAACUUUUGGUUUGAAUUGAUUUUGGCGCCCCCUGUGGACAGCAUGAUACUGUUUAUCUCUCGCCCUGUACAUGUGAAAGUAGUGUUUUCAAACAAGAACCUCAUCUUGUUUACUUUUAACAUUUAAAUGUAUCUCAUUAUGAGUGAUCGCCGUGGUGAAAUUAAACAAAAGAUUCUCGUUUACUAAUGCUACGUUCCAGUAACCUCGGAAGUCGGACGUCAGAACUAGGAAUGACAUCACACCCAAGUUGACGGCGUUCCAGUUGACAAGUUGGAAAACCAAGAUGGACGCCUACAGUUACCCGUUGUUAGCUGUUGUUUACGAUUGUCAGCUGUUGUUAACCGUUGUCAGUUGUUGUUAGCAGUUGUUAGCGUAACCAGUGGUAAACAACACAUAACAUGGUAUUUUACUCUUACUAACACCAUAUCACCGUGUUCACAGUUAGACGUUGGGCAGUACAACAUAAACCACUUGUUUAAUUUCACAAAAACAAAACAGAAGUGCUAAUAAAUAAUACAUUACGAGAGCUUUUACAGUUACUCUUUCCUGUUGAUGCACUGCGCUGCCAUCUUGGAUUAUGACACUGUCAUCAAGUUUGGGUUGGUAAGGAUUGUCCGACUUUCCAAAUCGGAAAUCUGACUUCAGAGGGGUGUUCCAGAUGAUUAUCUGACUCAGAGCUCGGAAAUUGCGACUUCCGAGUGCAACUGGAAUGUAGCAUUAAUCACAACAGGAAAAAUAUCAGCCUCAUCGCUUCUGCUCUUGUUUGGCAUCAGUAAAAGUUUGAGUUUGUUUAUCAGCCAGUUAAAAACUCCUUACAGUGCCUUUAAACUCAUUUAAAGUUAAUAUGAGGAUUUUUUUAUAUGCAUCUGUAACGGUGCCCUCUGUGGUACCUCUUCUCUCUCGGCUGAUUUUAAAUUCUCAAAGUAAUUUUUGCGGUACAAAGUUUUAUCCUUCCUUCUUGAAAGCGUACAGGUAUAUUUAUGUAAAAGCAAUUCUUGAAAUACCACUCACUGAAUGCCAUGGAAAUAUAAUGGUCAAAACUUUUAGCCAUGGUUGUUUUAUGAAUGGAGAAAAAUAUGUGUGUUUCCAUGGUGAUUACCAACGUCAAGAACUCUCUUUCAUUCUUUACGUCACUGUCACCCACCUGUCCUUCUCUGUUCAGUCUCUCAUUUUCCCAAGACCUUGACCAGACUCAUCUCCCACCAUAUGCUGUCUUCAACACACACACACACAUACACACACUUUAAUCACCGUGCUUCGGUGUGGCUUGAACAUGACUCGUGUGAUGUUGACGGCAUAUUUCACGAGGUCAGGGCGAGAGCAGCAGACCAGAGUGUCUUCAUUCUUGAGCUCAUCACAUGAAGCCUGCAGAGAGACCGAUCAGCUGAUAGCACAAGGUGUUUGUGCAUUUUAGUGUGUGUGUUUGUAAUUCCAGUGAUUCUACGCAGCCGGUGAAGGUCACAUCUCAGUUUCAACAUCUCCUGCAGAUACAUACGAUAAAUACUGACCAAAAGUACUAUGAGAAAUGAAUUCCUAAAAGUAGCACGUAUACAAUUACAUUUUACAGAUUUGGCUUUGAGCAGACAGUUCAUCUUCUUUAUUUGUUGAACUUUAAAUGUCCUUAAAGCUCCUGUGAGGAAUCCUCUGUUUGGGUCAGCUUUGGCGCCCCCUGUGGAUAAAGUGGUACUCCUGGUCAAUUUUUGUCCCUUGCAUGUGUUUCAUUCAACAAAAUCUCCCGUUAUGAUUCUUUACCAAGAAAGUUAAUUUCUUUCUGUUAUCUAAUCCCAUACCUACCCCCUUUGGCGGCCAUGUUUAACCUUAAAAAUAACCUUAUAGAAAAAAUCAAUCUUCUCUGUUUCGUGACCGGUCUAAAAACUCCUAACAGGAGCUUUAAUAUUUGUUUUUUUUCUGUCAUAUUUAUCUGAUGGCCACAUUGGAGAAUUCAGACUUUCAUGACUGAAAUGCUCUUUCGACAACAAAUCCUUUAAUGCUCUUGUGUUUGGGGGUCUAAGCCUUGCUCAAGGGCUCCUCAAAAUGGGCUCAGUUGUGGUCUUUUUUCAUUCCGUGCGUGUGUGUGUGUGUGUCUUAGUGUGUCUUUGGUGGACUGCCCGGGUGAAUGCAUGCUAAUUAGGUAGUAAAACCUGGCUCAUGGCUCAGUACUCUGGUCAUGUUUUGACUGACUACUGCCUUAUUCACAUGCAUUUGGCACGCACAUCGACACACACAUUCAAUAACACUAAUACACACAUAUGCAAGAACACAGCACCGCAGUAAUGAAUUGUAUUGGCAGCUUGGUCAGUCAAAGAGGCGCCGCUGGACAGACGGAGUGUGUUUUUUUGUGCGUGUGUGUGUUUUUUAUGUGUGUGUUUGUGUGCACUUGAGGACUUUAGCCAUUGAACCUGUCAUUGGUUGGUACAGAAAAACACUUUUUACCACGCCCGUGCAUGCUUACUUUUCAAUUCAGAGCUCUUUUGGUUUUUAUCAAAAAGUUCAGUUUGUUUGAUUUACACACAUGAAUGAAACACACAUAUACUCAGAAACACAAACACACCCACACUCGCACUCGCACGCUCACAAGUCUUGCGGCUGUGUUGCUCCUAAUACGAAAAGCCGAAGACAGUUGAUUCAAGCCAAUCACCUUCAGGAAGCAGGGAUCAGCCAAAAGCUCCUCAACUAAUGGGCAAAGUUACCUUCACUGACCUGGCUCUGGUCCAUGUCGACUACACACACUCACACACACUCACACACACACUACUCCGAUCUCUUUUGUCAACAGUCUUUUGCUCCUUCUGUCUCCAACAAAGCCUCUCUUCCUCCCCGCUCAGCUCUUCAAACCUCUCUCUCUUCUUCCCCUCUUCCUGUCUUUUCUCUCACUUUCUUUAUCGGACUUUUUCUUUGCUCUGUUUUUUUUAUUUUCACACCAGACUUUUCUUCUUCCUUCUGGUAAUCACCUCCUAGUAAUUAAGGAGCUUUUAGUUGGGUGUGCGAGCUUCAUUUGUGCCUGAAUGAAUGAAUGAAUGAAUGAGAGCAGCUGUUCUAUCAGGCUGACUCUCUGGUUUAAUACACAGAGCAUUAUUUACUAAAGUUAGAUCACAGAUGGAUAACUUACAGAGCAUGUCCACAUUAGAAAAUCACCGUAAGAAGGUUGUUGUUUUGGUCAGGGUAGGGCUAAUUGUUAGCUACCUCUUGUAAAUUGCCUCUUUGUGAAGUAUUAGCACUCCAAAGAAGAAAACGCCACAAACCACAACUUUCCCCACGCUUUUAGCACAUUAGUCUAAAGAUUUAGAUAACAGUUAGCUUUAAAAUCUCUAAAAUGUGGAUAUUUUUUAACACAGCUUGCCCUGUUUUUUUGCCCCCAUACUUGUUGUUUAUGCUAGGCUACUUAAGCUAACAUCUCCAGGUUACAGCUUCUUAUUUAACGAACAGAAAUGAGAGAAGGGGAAAAUUUUUUCAUCCCUAAGUGUGCUAACUAACAACUCAAAAAGUGACCAAAAAUUUGGUUCACUUUUAACUUUAUUGGGCAUUUGUAAAUCAGCAUUACAGCACAAUGCUCCACAACUGUUAGCUUAGCUGUAUUUAGCUAGUUUUGUUUAUGCUAGCUCCAUUUUCUAACCUGUAAACUCCUAAUAUCACAAAAACAAGAACAAUGUGUACUUUUGAGAUAAGAUUUUAAUAGUUAAUUCAUAAUAAACUGGAUUAGCAUUUUAAUUGAGCAAAGUUCCCUUGUCUAUUUAUUGUGUUAUCGCUAAAUAAAGCAUAGAAGUCAAAACGUGUAGGUUAAAAUAAAAAGAGAAAAAGUUGGUAGAUUUGAAAGAAAACUAAAAUUUACACCAGAAUCACAAGAGUGAACCUUGUUACAGAGUCAGCCUCUAGGUACCAUGAGUAUCUACACUAUAUUUCACUGUUUAUCAUUUUGUAAUGUAAUUUCAGUCCGGACCAAAGCGGUGUAGCAACUUUGCCAGCCUUUGAACCAGCUUUGUGAAAGAGGUCAAACGUUUCUGCUUCCAGUUUUGCAAUUAUGAGGUUAGCUGCUUUUUGCCGUUUUAUAGGAUUGGUAAAUUUUGCUGCUUUGGAAAUAGACUGCUGGCGAAAGUAAACAGGAAAAUCUGAAAACGUCUCAUAAGGUUGCAUUUUCCAGCACCUUCUUUAGACUAUUUAUUGGUGAUUGAAAAGUCUAACUGAUGAUCGAUUCAGCAGCUUUUUUGCAGCCAUUAUUGGGGCUUUUUCAGGUUAAAUAGAUGUUUCCUUCUCUAACCAUGUGUACUGUAUGUGCGCCUCGAUCCAUGUUCAGUGUGUGUAUAUACUUGGCAGCGUGCCAGCUCCCUGAACGGACAUGAUCCCGUCUACAGAGCGCUGAUUGUGCGCUGUGGUAUGGGAUGUAUGCCUGGCUCAGGGAGCGUCGGGCGCUGCAAAAAAGAAAUGGAGCAACCACCCACCAACCCAACUGGGGUUCAUUGAGGGCACUGGAGGAGGAGGAGGAGGAGGAGGAGGGAGUGUUUCCCUCCUUUCACACACACUCCUUUUGAUUUGUUCCCUCUUUUUUUCUCUCCUCCUCCUCUUUCCUCACACACUCUCCCAGGAAAACAUUUGAGCUUCUUUUUCACGUUUUUGUGUCCCCGUUUUUGCCGUCUUUUCACUCUGUAUUUGUCUCCCAGCUGCUUUUUUUUCCACCUCUUCUCAUAUAAAUUUCUCUUUUCUCCCCGCGCAUGAUUGUCUUGAUGUCAACACCGCCGCGGUGUUUCUCCCCAUGUCUCCGCAGUGAUCUGUGUGCGUCUGACUGUGUGUGUGUGUGUCUCGCUGGAUUCGGGGCCACGGCGUCGCUCAGCUGCCUCUCCCCUAACUGGGUUUGUCUGUAAAGAGCUUAACACCCGUGGGCGUUGGAGAGCACUAAGCUGAUUAACGUCUACUAACGAGCCACUUCUCACAUGGAGGCCGUGUUUGUGUGUGUACUUCAAUCUGGCUACAGUAAUAUUGUUUGUUUACAUGGUGUCAGUACAUGUUUUUGCGUCUGUAUCUGUGUGCAGAGCAUCUCAGGUGCUGCAGAGACCGGAUGGAUCAGGUGGAGGAGGUUAAGGAGAUGAGAGGAGGUCAAAGUUGAUCUCAGGGUUAGCCAAAGUGCUGACGAUGGCGACAGGGUGUGAAUGUAGUUCUCCUCUAUCCCUCCAGACUCCUGCAGAGGAGGUCAAGUUACUCUCAAAGGAGCUGAAUCCCUUUUUUUGCUCACUCCAAUCUGACUUGAUCCGACUAGACUGUGUGAAUUGUGCCUAAUUAUGCUAAUAACUUAGGCUAAUAACCCCUGAUAACCUUUGUGGAAAGGUGCCUGAAAACUUUAUCUAGAUGUGGUUUUAUUAUUUAGUGGGAAAAGUCUGCGGUGAAUGGAUAUGCUUAAGUAAACCAUUCAGACUAUGUGGCUUAAAGACAUGUGAGGUAAUAUCUGAAAUCGCACAAAAUCAAAUAUCUAAUCAUCGGGCUAACAUAAACUAGCCCAGAGUUUGUACAACAAGCUUUUAGCCAGAAGUUGAAUAGCAAGGAUGUGUUGUUAGGAAACCAGGUAGUAAACAAAACCUUGACAGAGGACGAAAGGACAUGAAAAAAAACGAAACUUUUGAACGAACAAACAGCACAGAGCUGUAAAAGUGACUGUUUUCAUUAUCAACGUGCAUUCGGUUAGCCUCUUUUUGGAGGGGAUUUGCUGACUGUUUUGACAUGUAAUGCGUCACCUAGGAGACGACUUGAUAGUAGUAAUACUGCGUUCCAGUUGUACUCAGAAGUCAGAAUUUCCGAGCUCUGAGUUGGAAACUCAUCUGGAACGCACCCCUAAAGUCGGAUUUCCGACUUGGAAAGUUGGACGAUCCUCACCAACUCCAACUUGACGACAACGUCAUAAUCCAAGAUGGCAGCGCAGUGCAUCAACAGUAAAGAGUAACAGUGAAAGCUCUCGUAACUUAUAAUCUAUAAGCACUUUUUGUGAAAUUAAAUAAGUGGUAUAUGUUGUACUGCCCAAAGUCUAACUGUGAACACGGUGCUAUGGUGUUAGUAAGAGUAAAAUACUGUGUCAUGGGUUGCGUACAACAGGUAUCGCUAACAACAACCAACAACAGCUGACAACCGCUAACAACGACUGACAAUUGUAAACAAUAGCAGGCAAUGGCCUAUGUAGGCGUCUUUUUGGUUUUCCGACUUGGUACUGAAACGCUGGUGACUCGGGUGUAAUGUCAUUCCCAGCUCCGAUAUCCGACUUCCGAGGUAACUGGAACGCAGCAUGGGCUGAAAAGGGGGAUUGUCGCCACUUACUGUAGGGGGUAAGGAUUGUCGCAGGAGGGGGAAGGAUUGCAGUUAAAACACAUGAUCAAGCCUCCUGCCUACCCAGUCUUCCUAACUCCAAAUUAAGAGUCUAUACUUGCAAGUAUGGAUUCUUAGUUUCUUUGUUUUAAACACCAACAAUUUAAAUGUUCUCCUCUUUCAUGUUCAUGAGCUACAACACCUGAGGCAGUUUUAGUUUUUAGUUCCAAGAAUCACCCCUUCAGUGCCUGCAGCUCAUGAACAGAUAGUGAAAUGAGUAUUUAUUUAUAAUGAGAAUUAUAAUUUUGAGCGAUUUUUAAUCAUCUCCUCUUCUCAGGUAAAAACUAGAAAGUACAUUUUGUCUUCUUUUGAGUUAAACUGUCUGUAACAGGAGUUUAAAGAACUUUCUGUGAAGUCGAGAGCAGAGUUGAAGAAGAGGAACAAAAACUCAUGGGAACAGAGGGGCCACCUUUUAACAGAUUGCUCAACUCCGACUGCCUGGAGGGAAGCUUUAGGCAAAACACACACAAACACACACUCUGCAUAUUGGAGUUACCUAAUCGUCACACAUGGAGCGGGGCCCGCAGUCACUGCAGCUCUGUUCAAAGUGAUCAGGAUACAACACGCAGACAACCAAUCAGACAAAAAUAACCCACAUUGACCCUUUUGUGCAUAAAAAAAAACCUGCACGCUCUUCAUCUUUAUCUACGUCAAGAAAAGUCAAUAUUCAGCACCUCCAACCAGAACACUUCCCCUGAUCAAGAUGAUUGAAACUUUCUCUGUGGCGAUUGAAGGGAAGAACAAACAGUCCCUCGACCCGCCUUAUGUAACUCAUCAGUGCAGAUCGAAUGAAGGAGCGCUGAUGUUUGCUCACUGCUGCCAUUAUCGGCCUAAGAACGGUCGUUAACCUUUAGAGCGCUGCCUCACCCCCA